rnacentral:rRNA from 1 species
CGUAGGUGGCAAGCGUUGUCCGGAAUUAUUGGGCGUAAAGCGCGCGCAGGCGGCUUCUUAAGUCCAUCUUAAAAGUGCGGGGCUUAACCCCGUGAUGGGAUGGAAACUGAGAGGCUGGAGUAUCGGAGAGGAAAGUGGAAUUCCUAGUGUAGCGGUGAAAUGCGUAGAGAUUAGGAAGAACACCGGUGGCGAAGGCGACUUUCUGGACGACAACUGACGCUGAGGCGCGAAAGCGUGGGGAGCAAACAGGAUAGAUACCC